CGGAUGAACGCUGGCGGCGUGCCUAAUACAUGCAAGUCGAGCGAACGGACGAGAAGCUUGCUUCUCUGAUGUUAGCGGCGGACGGGUGAGUAACACGUGGAUAACCUACCUAUAAGACUGGGAUAACUUCGGGAAACCGGAGCUAAUACCGGAUAAUAUUUUGAACCGCAUGGUUCAAAAGUGAAAGACGGUCUUGCUGUCACUUAUAGAUGGAUCCGCGCUGCAUUAGCUAGUUGGUAAGGUAACGGCUUACCAAGGCAACGAUGCAUAGCCGACCUGAGAGGGUGAUCGGCCACACUGGAACUGAGACACGGUCCAGACUCCUACGGGAGGCAGCAGUAGGGAAUCUUCCGCAAUGGGCGAAAGCCUGACGGAGCAACGCCGCGUGAGUGAUGAAGGUCUUCGGAUCGUAAAACUCUGUUAUUAGGGAAGAACAUAUGUGUAAGUAACUGUGCACAUCUUGACGGUACCUAAUCAGAAAGCCACGGCUAACUACGUGCCAGCAGCCGCGGUAAUACGUAGGUGGCAAGCGUUAUCCGGAAUUAUUGGGCGUAAAGCGCGCGUAGGCGGUUUUUUAAGUCUGAUGUGAAAGCCCACGGCUCAACCGUGGAGGGUCAUUGGAAACUGGAAAACUUGAGUGCAGAAGAGGAAAGUGGAAUUCCAUGUGUAGCGGUGAAAUGCGCAGAGAUAUGGAGGAACACCAGUGGCGAAGGCGACUUUCUGGUCUGUAACUGACGCUGAUGUGCGAAAGCGUGGGGAUCAAACAGGAUUAGAUACCCUGGUAGUCCACGCCGUAAACGAUGAGUGCUAAGUGUUAGGGGGUUUCCGCCCCUUAGUGCUGCAGCUAACGCAUUAAGCACUCCGCCUGGGGAGUACGACCGCAAGGUUGAAACUCAAAGGAAUUGACGGGGACCCGCACAAGCGGUGGAGCAUGUGGUUUAAUUCGAAGCAACGCGAAGAACCUUACCAAAUCUUGACAUCCUUUGACAACUCUAGAGAUAGAGCUUUCCCCUUCGGGGGACAAAGUGACAGGUGGUGCAUGGUUGUCGUCAGCUCGUGUCGUGAGAUGUUGGGUUAAGUCCCGCAACGAGCGCAACCCUUAAGCUUAGUUGCCAUCAUUAAGUUGGGCACUCUAAGUUGACUGCCGGUGACAAACCGGAGGAAGGUGGGGAUGACGUCAAAUCAUCAUGCCCCUUAUGAUUUGGGCUACACACGUGCUACAAUGGACAAUACAAAGGGCAGCGAAACCGCGAGGUCAAGCAAAUCCCAUAAAGUUGUUCUCAGUUCGGAUUGUAGUCUGCAACUCGACUACAUGAAGCUGGAAUCGCUAGUAAUCGUAGAUCAGCAUGCUACGGUGAAUACGUUCCCGGGUCUUGUACACACCGCCCGUCACACCACGAGAGUUUGUAACACCCGAAGCCGGUGGAGUAACCUUUUAGGAGCUAGCCGUCGAAGGUGGGACAAAUGAUUGGGGUG
rnacentral:rRNA from 1 species